CAUUUUCUGAGCGCUUAAAAGCAUUCAGGCCGAAGCAGACUAUACUGGAAGCUGAAGGUGAAGCUGCCAAAUCAAAGAAUCUGCAGGGUCCUUCUAGUCAGUGGGUUGAUGUGAUGAAGAGAAAAAGAGCUAUUCAUGAGGAUAUCAUCAAUAUAGUGCAUCAACAACGCUCAAGCAAGCAGAUGGAAAGGGAAGCUCAAUCUGAAAUUACUUCUUCAAAUGGAAGGGGGAAAAAAGAAGCUCGAGGUUCUAAAAGAAAGGCAAAGAGCUUCAAAGAUGAAGAAUACUAUAUAAGUUCAGUACCCACGAAUCAUCAUACAGAGGUAGGCCUUUCAGUGAGAGCUAAUGAAGGCUUUGGAUCAAAUAGGCUGGACACUGCUGUCCUCGAUCUAGUAGCAGAUGAUAGCCAGGGCAUGCAGAAACAAAAAACUGUAUACCAUUGGGAUAAGAGGAGUAAGAAGUACAUCAAAUUGAACAAUGGAGAACGUGUUACAGCUAGUGGAAAGAUUAAGACAGAAAGUGGUGCAAAAGUAAAAGCUAAGAGUACUGGGAUAUACAAGAAGUGGAAAGAACAGUCACACAAAAAAGUGUCACUUAAAGGAACUAGCAACGAAGGGAAUGCUGAGCAAACCUCAAGUUUCUCAGGAGACCAUCAAUUACAAAGAAAUAAUAGGAAGUUUAAAUGGGGCAGGAAGAAUCGCUCAGUGCCUAAUGCUAACUUACGUUCAGAAAUUAAAGAUCUUGAUCAAGUUCGGAAAGAAAGGCAAAAGAAGGCCAACAAAAUCUCCCACAUGAACAAAGCUGCCAUGGGUAAAAAAUUUGGUAAAAAUGGGAAAAAAGGCAAGGCAAGGAAGUAAGGUUGCUUUAUUUAGUUGAUGAGAAAACUUGUGAUGCAAAUAUAAGAGGAAAGGCAAAGAAGCUUGCCAUAUUCAGUUGCUUUAUGAUCUGGC
rnacentral:misc_RNA from 1 species